rnacentral:misc_RNA from 1 species
AAGUCGUAACAAGGUUUCCGUAGGUGAACCUGCGGAAGGAUCAUUACAGAGAACAUGCCCUUCAGGGUAUAUCUCCCACCCUUUGUUUAUAAUACCUUUGUUGCUUUGGCAGGCCUGUUUUACAACUACUGGCUUUGGCUGGUUAGCGCCUGCCAGAGGACCCUUAAUGCCUUAUAUUGCUGUCUGAGUAUUGUAUAAUAUUUAAAACUUUCAACAACGGAUCUCUUGGUUCUG